rnacentral:rRNA from 1 species
GUCUUGACAUCCAUAGAAUUCUGCAGAGAUGUGGGAGCGCUUUCGGGAACUAUGAGACAGGUGCUGCAUGGCUGUCGUCAGCUCGUGUUGUGAAAUGUUGGGUUAAGUCGCGCAUCGAGCGCAACCCUUAUUCUGUGUUGCCAGCGAUUUGGUCGGGAACUCAAAGGAGACGGCCGUUGAUAAAGCGGAGGAAGGUGGGGAAGAGGUCAAGUCAUCAUGGCCCUUACGACCAGGGCUACACACGUGUUACAAUGGCGUAUACAAAGGGAAGUGAAGGUGCGAGCUGGAGCGGAUUUCAUAAAGUACGUCUAAGUUGGGAUUGGAGUCUGCAACUGGACUCCAUGAAGUCGGAAUCGUUAGUAAUGGUAGGUCAGAAUGUUACGGUGAAUACGUUCCCGGCCCUUGUACACCCCCCCGGUCACACCAUGGGAGUGGGUUGCACCAGAAGUAGAUAGCUUAACCGCGAGGGGGGCGUUUCCCACGGUGUGAUUCAUGACGGGGUGAAGUCGUAACAAGGUAACCA